GAUGAACGCUGGCGGCGUGCCUAAUACAUGCAAGUCGAGCGAACAGAUAAGGAGCUUGCUCCUUUGACGUUAGCGGCGGACGGGUGAGUUACACGUGGAUAACCUACCUAUAAGACUGGGAUAACUUCGGGAAACCGGAGCUAAUACCGGAUAACAUAUUGAACCGCAUGGUUCAAUAGUGAAAGGCGGCUUUGCUGUCACUUAUAGAUGGAUCCGCGCCGUAUUAGCUAGUUGGUAAGGUAACGGCUUACCAAGGCAACGAUACGUAGCCGACCUGAGAGGGUGAUCGGCCACACUGGAACUGAGGCACGGUCCAGACUCCUACGGGAGGCAGCAGUAGGGAAUCUUCCGCAAUGGGCGAAAGCCUGACGGAGCAACGCCGCGUGAGUGAUGAAGGUCUUCGGAUCGUAAAACUCUGUUAUCAGGGAAGAACAAAUGUGUAAGUAACUGUGCACAUCUUGACGGUACCUGAUCAGAAAGCCACGGCUAACUACGUG
rnacentral:rRNA from 1 species